UACGUAGGGUGCAAGCGUUGUCCGGAAUUAUUGGGCGUAAAGAGCUCGUAGGCGGCUUGUCGCGUCGAUUGUGAAAGCCCGGGGCUUAACUCCGGGUCUGCAGUCGAUACGGGCAGGCUAGAGUGUGGUAGGGGAGAUCGGAAUUCCUGGUGUAGCGGUGAAAUGCGCAGAUAUCAGGAGGAACACCGGUGGCGAAGGCGGAUCUCUGGGCCAUUACUGACGCUGAGAAGCGAAAGCAUGGGGAGCGAACAGG
rnacentral:rRNA from 1 species